CCUACGGGUGGCAGCAGUGAGGAAUAUUGGUCAAUGGCCGGAAGGCUGAACCAGCCAAGCCGCGUGAAGGACGAAGGUGCCAAGCAUUGUAAACUUCUUUUGUCAAGGGACAAAAUCAGGCUCGAGAGCCUGACCGAGGGUACUUGAAGAAAAAGCAUCGGCUAACUCCGUGCCAGCAGCCGCGGUAAUACGGAGGAUGCGAGCGUUAUCCGGAUUUAUUGGGUUUAAAGGGUGCGUAGGCGGGCUGUUAAGUCAGCGGUAAAAGCCCGGGGCUCAACCCCGGCGAGCCGUUGAAACUGGCUGUCUUGAGAUGUCGAGAGGUAUGCGGAAUGCGCAGUGUAGCGGUGAAAUGCUUAGAUAUGACGAAGAACCCCGAUUGCGAAGGCAGCUUGCUGCAGCGGAACUGACGCUGAUGCUCGAAAGCGCGGGUAUCGAACAGGAUUAGAUACCCUUGUAGUC
rnacentral:rRNA from 1 species